rnacentral:rRNA from 1 species
GGCUCGAAGCGCGUCGUGGUAUUUCGCGUAUUGUAAUUUCAACACGAGCGGGGUCAAAUCCUUUGCAGACGACUUAGCUGUGCGAAACGGUCCUGUAAGCAGUAGAGUAGCCUUGUUGUUACGAUCUGCUGAGGGUAAGCCGUCCUUCGCCUCGAUUU